CAUGCAAGUCGAAUGGGUUUAGACCCAUGGCAGACGAGGUAGGAACACGUAGGUACGUACCCCAAAGUCAGGGAUAACCCGGCGAAAGUCGGAGUAAUACUUGAUGGUCUCGAAAGAGUAAAGAUUUAUCGCUUUGGGAACGGCCUGCGGUCUAUCAGCUUGUUGGUAAGGUAACGGCUUACCAAGGCUACGACGGAUAGGGGAGCUGAGAGGCUGACCCCCACCGAUGGAACUGCGACACGGUCCAUACUCCUACGGGAGGCCGCAGUCGAGAAUCUUCCGCAAUGGA
rnacentral:rRNA from 1 species